CACCGGGCCCCACGCAAAAAGAGAGUCAUUAACCCCGCCAGGCCCGGAAGGGAGCAACGGUCGUGAUUUGAUUUUGUGCCGUGGUAUAGCCUGGUGGCC
rnacentral:SRP_RNA from 1 species